rnacentral:misc_RNA from 1 species
AAUGUCGUAACAAGGUUUCCGUAGGUGAACCUGCGGAAGGAUCAUUAAUGAGUUAGGGUCUCCGGGCCCGACCUCCAACCCUUUUGUUGUCACAAAAUCCAAUUGUUGCUUUGGCGUGGACCGCCCGCGAGGGCUGCCGGUCUUAGGCCCGGCAUGCGCCCGCCAGAGGAAAAUCCAAACUCUUGUUUAUUAACCAAGUCUCUCUGUAAAACUGAUUAAUCAAUCAAAAU